rnacentral:tRNA from 1 species
UAGAUUGAAGCCAGAAUUAGGGUAUCUAGCUGUUAACUAGAAAUUUAUAGGUUUGAGUCCUAUCGAUCUAG